rnacentral:rRNA from 1 species
CUACGGGGGGCUCCAGUGGGGAAUUUUGGACAAUGGGCGAAAGCCUGAUCCAGCCAUGCCGCGUGUCUGAAGAAGGCCUUCGGGUUGUAAAGGACUUUUGUCGGGGAGGAAAUCCCCAGCGUUAAUACCGCUGGGGGAUGACAGUACCUGAAGAAUAAGCACCGGCUAAUUACGUGCCAGCAGCCGCGGUAAUACGUAGGGUGCAAGCGUUAAUCGGAAUUACUGGGCGUAAAGCGUGCGCAGGCGGUUUGAUAAGCCAGAUGUGAAAUCCCCGAGCUCAACUUGGGAACUGCGUUUUGAACUGUCAGACUAGAGUGCGUCAGAGGGGGGUGGAAUUCCGCGUGUAGCAGUGAAAUGCGUAGAGAUGCGGAGGAACACCGAUGGCGAAGGCAGCCCCCUGGGAUGACACUGACGCUCAUGCACGAAAGCGUGGGGAGCAAACAGGAUUAGAUACCCCGGUAGUC